rnacentral:rRNA from 1 species
UACGUAGGAUGCAAGCGUUAUCCGGAAUGAUUGGGCGUAAAGCGUCCGCAGGUGGCUAUGUAAGUCUGCUGUUAAAGAGUGAGGCUCAACCUCAUAAGAGCAGUGGAAACUACAUGGCUAGAGUGCGUUCGGGGCAGAGGGAAUUCCUGGUGUAGCGGUGAAAUGCGUAGAUAUCAGGAAGAACACCGGUGGCGAAAGCGCUCUGCUAGGCCGCAACUGACACUGAGGGACGAAAGCUAGGGGAGCGAAUGGG